GGAUUAGAUACCCUGGUAGUCCAUGCCGUAAACGAUGUGUGUUAGACGUUGGAAAUUUAUUUUCAGUGUCGCAGCGAAAGCGAUAAACACACCGCCUGGGGAGUACGACCGCAAGGUUAAAACUCAAAUGAAUUGACGGGGACCCGCACAAGUAGUGGAGCAUGUGGUUUAAUUCGAAGAUACGCGCAGAACCUUACCAACACUUGACAUGUUCGUCGCGACUUUAAGAGAUUAAAGUUUUCGGUUCGGCCGGACGAAACACAGGUGCUGCAUGGCUGUCGUCAGCUCUGCUGC
rnacentral:rRNA from 1 species